AUUGAACGCUGGCGGCAGGCUUAACACAUGCAAGUCGAACGAUGAUUAUCUAGCUUGCUAGAUAUGAUUAGUGGCGGACGGGUGAGUAACAUUUAGGAAUCUGCCUAGUAGUGGGGGAUAGCUCGGGGAAACUCGAAUUAAUACCGCAUACGACCUACGGGUGAAAGGGGGCGCAAGCUCUUGCUAUUAGAUGAGCCUAAAUCAGAUUAGCUAGUUGGUGGGGUAAAGGCCCACCAAGGCGACGAUCUGUAACUGGUCUGAGAGGAUGAUCAGUCACACCGGAACUGAGACACGGUUCGGACUCCUACGGGAGGCAGCAGUGGGGAAUAUUGGACAAUGGGGGCAACCCUGAUCCAGCCAUGCCGCGUGUGUGAAGAAGGCCUUUUGGUUGUAAAGCACUUUAAGCAGGGAGGAGAGGCUAAUGGUUAAUACCCAUUAGAUUAGACGUUACCUGCAGAAUAAGCACCGGCUAACUCUGUGCCAGCAGCCGCGGUAAUACAGAGGGUGCGAGCGUUAAUCGGAAUUACUGGGCGUAAAGCGAGUGUAGGUGGCUCAUUAAGUCACGUGUGAAAUCCCCCGGGCUUAACCUGGGAACUGCAUGUGAUACUGGUGGUGCUAGAAUAUGUGAGAGGGAAGUAGAAUUCCAGGUGUAGCGGUGAAAUGCGUAGAGAUCUGGAGGAAUACCGAUGGCGAAGGCAGCUUCCUGGCAUAAUAUUGACACUGAGAUUCGAAAGCGUGGGUAGCAAACAGGAUUAGAUACCCUGGUAGUCCACGCCGUAAACGAUGUCUACUAGCCGUUGGGGUCCUUGAGACUUUAGUGGCGCAGCUAACGCGAUAAGUAGACCGCCUGGGGAGUACGGCCGCAAGGUUAAAACUCAAAUGAAUUGACGGGGGCCCGCACAAGCGGUGGAGCAUGUGGUUUAAUUCGAUGCAACGCGAAGAACCUUACCUGGCCUUGACAUACUAGAAACUUUCCAGAGAUGGAUUGGUGCCUUCGGGAAUCUAGAUACAGGUGCUGCAUGGCUGUCGUCAGCUCGUGUCGUGAGAUGUUGGGUUAAGUCCCGCAACGAGCGCAACCCUUUUCCUUACUUGCCAGCAUUUCGGAUGGGAACUUUAAGGGUACUGCCAGUGACAAACUGGAGGAAGGCGGGGACGACGUCAAGUCAUCAUGGCCCUUACGACCAGGGCUACACACGUGCUACAAUGGUAGGUACAGAGGGUUGCUACACAGCGAUGUGAUGCUAAUCUCAAAAAGCCUAUCGUAGUCCGGAUUGGAGUCUGCAACUCGACUCCAUGAAGUCGGAAUCGCUAGUAAUCGCAGAUCAGAAUGCUGCGGUGAAUACGUUCCCGGGCCU
rnacentral:rRNA from 1 species